CCUACGGGAGGCAGCAGUGGGGAAUAUUGGACAAUGGGCGCAAGCCUGAUCCAGCCAUGCCGCGUGGGUGAUGAAGGCCCUAGGGUUGUAAAGCCCUUUCGGCGGGGAAGAUAAUGACGGUACCCGCAGAAGAAGCCCCGGCUAACUUCGUGCCAGCAGCCGCGGUAAUACGAAGGGGGCUAGCGUUGCUCGGAAUCACUGGGCGUAAAGCGCACGUAGGCGGCUUUUUAAGUUGGAGGUGAAAGCCUUGGGCUCAACCCAAGAAUUGCCUUUGAUACUGGAUGUCUCGAGACCGGGAGAGGUGAGUGGAAUUCCGAGUGUAGAGGUGAAAUUCGUAGAUAUUCGGAAGAACACCAGUGGCGAAGGCGACACACUGGCCCGUUACUGACGCUGAUGCGCGAAAGCGUGGGGAGCAAACAGGAUUAGAUACCCUGGUAGUCCACGCCGUAAACGAUGGAUGCUAGCCGUUGUCGGGUUUACUCGUCAGUGGCGCAGCUAACGCAUUAAGCAUCCCGCCUGGGGAGUACGGUCGCAAGAUUAAAACUCAAAGGAAUUGACGG
rnacentral:rRNA from 1 species